UUUGAGCGAAGCGAAGCGAAGCCGUGUUAGCAGCGAAUAAAGCACCACAGAUCUCAUCUACGCCGCUCUCUCUUCCUUCUCUCUCGGCUCAGAUCUGCUUCACGCCGAUCUUCCUCAGCUUCAUUCACUUUCUCUCUCUUCGCAAUUCCAAUUCUCCGCCAAAAUUGAAUUUCGAGUAUUCGUUUUUCUCAUGAACCCUUCCUCUCCGGUACGUUCGAUUAAUUUCCCUGUUUCACUUCACCUUCAACUGAAACACAAACACUUUGAAUUUCAAAUGCUUGUUCUGUGUUUAUCACUGAUCAGAUAGGUGAGUGUUGGUGCUAAUUUCAUGGACUGGACUGUUAACAAUCACUACAGAACUUACAAAGGUAUAUAGUUAUAAUAACCACCUUGGUUCUGAUAUUUCAAGUUUUUGCGAUAUGUUAUUGAUGUUGAAUUCAUGAAAUUAAUUGACUGGUGUAUUUGGGUUUUAGCAUUCUCUAUUGGUGGAAUAGUGUGUGAACUAAAGUUCCAACGUUAAUUCAACAUAAGUCAAGGAAAUAGUAAUCGACUUGGUUUUCAGCAUUCUAUUUGUUACAUAAAAUUGGCUUUUUAUUAUUUUGGUAGACGACCAAAAAUCCAUGAUGGAUGUGGCACUCAUUUCGAACAUGGAUGCUGUGAAUAUUGGGUUGGGUUGUUCAGACAAGCCAGCUUCUGUCACUUCAUUGAAGCCGAGAAAGAAAACGAUGACAUCAGUGUAUUUGAAGUUCUUCGAGACAGCUGCAGAUGGCAAGACUCGGAGAUGCAAGUUUUGUGGACAGAGUUAUUCCAUUGCAACCGCCACAGGCAAUUUGGGAAGGCAUCUUGCUAAUCGCCAUCCAGGUUAUGACAAGUCAGUGGAUGCAAUCAGCAAUUCAGUGGCGCGGGCCACUGCUGUGGUGAAGAAGUCUCAGCCUCAAGGAAAAACAAACCAGGUGGAUUAUGAUCACCUAAAUUGGUUGCUGAUAAGGUGGCUUGUUUUGGCUUCUCUUCCUCCUUCAACUCUGGAAGAGAGGUGGCUUGUGAAUUCCUACAAGUUUCUAAAUCCUUCGAUACAACUCUGGCCAAGUGAGAAGUAUAGAACUGUACUUGAUGAAGUUUUCAAAAGCAUGCGGGAAGAUGUAAGAGCAUUGCUAGAACAGGUUUCUUCCAAGUUCUCUAUCACACUUGAUUUCUGGAAUUCUUUUGAACAGAUCUUCUAUAUGAGCGUAACAUGUCAGUGGAUUGACGAAAACUGGUGCUUCCAGAAGUUGCUUCUUGAUAUCUGUCGCAUACCAUAUCCAUGUGGGGGUGCAGAGAUCUAUCGUACCCUUGUAAAAGUACUUAAAUUUUACAAUAUUGAAAACAGAGUCCUGUCUUGUACCCAUGAUAAUAGUACAAGUGCCAUGCAUGCCUGCCAUACUUUGAAAGAGGACUUGGAUGGUCAGAAAAUAGGGCCAUUCUGUUAUAUUCCCUGUGCUGCUCGAACUUUGAAUGUGAUAAUAGAUGAUGGAUUGAGAUCGGCAAAACAAGUAAUUUCUAAGAUACGGGAGUUUGUAAUAGAGUUAAAUGCCUCACCAGUGAUCUCUGAGGAUUUUAUUCAACUAUCUACAGUUUAUCAAGAAGGUACAUGGAAAUUUCCACUUGAUGUUUCAGCAAGGUGGAAUGGAAACUACCAGAUGCUGGAUCUUGUUCGCAAGGCAGGUAAAUCAAUGGAUGCUGUUAUUCGUAAAUACGAGGAAAUGCUAGGCAACAGGAUGCUGCUGGGCUCUUCCGACAAAAGUGUGGUGAACAUCAUUCAUCUAUAUCUUGAACCAUUCUACAAGACCACAAACAACAUCUGCACAAAUAAAGUGCCAACCGUUGGGCUUGUCCUUUUCUUCAUGGAUCAUAUCUCAGAAACAAUUGCUAACUGUAGAGAAUCACGUCACAGCCCAGAAUGGCUAAAAACUGCUGCAGAAGAAAUGGCUAAAAAAGCCAGGAAUUAUAUUAAUCAGGUUUGCAACAUAUUUACGUAUAUGACAGCAAUUCUAGAUCCUCGCAUAAAGGGAGAUCUGAUCCCUGAUAGUUUAAACUCGGAAAACUUUUUGGACGAAGCAAGAACCCAUUUUAUGAGAAAUUAUUCUACAAGCCAUUUCUCAUCUCUGAGUUCUGGUUACAAUGCUCAAGAAAUUGAAGAUGGCGGAAGUGUUUCCUUUGCUGAAGAAAUAGCACGGAAGAAACGAAGGACGAGCAUGAGCUCUGCCACUGAUGAGCUUACACAGUACCUAUCAGAGGCUCCAGCUCCAAUACCAACAGAUGUUCUAGAGUGGUGGAAGGUCAACAGUACACGCUACCCUCGACUAUCUGUGAUGGCUAGGGAUUUCCUGGCUGUGCAGGCAACUUCAGUUGUGCCUGAAGAACUUUUCUGUGGCAAGGGUGAUGAAAUUGACAAACAACGAUUCUGUAUGCCACAUGAUAGCACUCAAGCUAUUCUUUGUAUCAAGUCUUGGAUUCAGGUUGGCCUCAAGUUUAAGUUUAAGUCAACUGAAAUAGAUUAUGAGAGGUUGAUGGAACUGGCAGCAGCUGCUGCUGCAACAGAUUUUAGCCCUCCAAGUUCUGACAAGAAACAAAAAUAAUGAUAGAAGAUGGCAGCACUGUAAGGGUGACAGAUUCCUUGAUUAACAAACAACCCUACUGUCACUUUCAAAUUAUAUCUUGACUUGACUUUGGCUCGUUUCCCCUUAUCUUCAACUAAGAAGAGAUUAACUGGGUGUUUUGUUCUUUGAGAACUCAUCGUUGUAUCAUAUCAGUAUAAUGUAUUAUGUUGUACAGUUCUGAAUUGUGGAAUUUAAUAACCCAGAAAAAAAAUCAAAUAAGCUCCCUAACGAUGGAAGUCUCCCCUCCUUUGUACCUCCAUGAUUUGUGUCCACACCAAAGAGCGUAUGGUCGACACCCCAGAAACUGAGGCUACAUUAUAAACGUACAAAGAAGGCUACGGAUUUAAGAGUAGUGCCCCUUUAAUUAAUUCUUUUUACAAUGCUGACAACUUUCUGGACUAAAAAGUGUAUAAAUAAUUAUAUUCAAAACUAUUGGAGGGUUGUUAACGCCACCUUCAGAGUUCUUUAUCUACAUCAACAAGUACUCUCCGAUAUUCACGUACUAUUACAGGCACGCUUGUAGGAGGGAGCUGUAACAACAGCAAGAAAGAGUAAAUACAUGAUUGUGAAACUGGUAAUUAUGUUACAACGAAGAGAGAGUUUAAUAUUAAGAAAAUUCUUAAAAGGAAAAUUUUGAAUAAAUUGAGAAUUAUAAAAAUAAAAAAUAAAAACAUAUAAGUAAAUACUACAUAAUGGUGAAGCCGCAAUUUCAAAAUACAAAGAAAAUAUAAUACAUGUUUUCACAUUUGAGAAUGAAAACAUGUAUUUAUAUUAUAGGGAUUAAUUUGAGUGGUAAGGUGCACAAAAUCAAUGAAUAGAUUAUAUUCGAGAAUAAUGCAUGAGCGCAAUGAAACAAAAUUAUAUCCAGUGGCAACGGCGAGGUUUGGGUUUUCCGAGCAAUUGCAGCCCUCAGGUGCCACGUGGCGUUCGCCGGAAGGAUGACGUGGCGACAGAAUGAUAUGUGUGUAUUUCAGUUAACUAAAGAUUUGGGGUUUGCGAUCAAUUAGGGUUUGGGUUCACUGGGGAUUGUGAGGAUUUUCAGUUUCAAUUGUUGCGUUGUAAGCACGUUCCUGGACGUUAAGGGGCGGGAACAGAGGUUUUAUUAUCUCAUAUGUUUAUAUAUUUUUUUUC